GACGAACGCUGGCGGCGUGCUUAACACAUGCAAGUCGAACGGAAAGGCCCUGCUUUUGUGGGGUGCUCGAGUGGCGAACGGGUGAGUAACACGUGAGUAACCUGCCCUUGACUUUGGGAUAACUUCAGGAAACUGGGGCUAAUACCGGAUAGGAGCUCCUGCUGCAUGGUGGGGGUUGGAAAGUUUCGGCGGUUGGGGAUGGACUCGCGGCUUAUCGGCUUGUUGGUGGGGUAGUGGCUUACCCAGGCUUUGACGGGUAGCCGGCCUGAGAGGGUGACCGGCCACAAGGGGACUGAGAUACGGACCAGACGGCUACGGGAGACAGCAGUGGGGAAUAUUGCCCAAUGAGCGGAAGCCUGAUGCAGCAGCGCCGCGGGCGGGAUGACGGCCUUCGGGGUGUGAACCGCAUUCGCCUAUGACGAAGCUGUAGUGACGGUAAUGAAUAAAGAAGCACCGGCUAACUACGUG
rnacentral:rRNA from 1 species